GAAAUGAUCCUACUGCUUUGGCCUCCCACAGUGCAGGGAUUACAGUCAUGAGCCACUGCCACUGCGCCUGGCCCAUCUUGGCACUUUUGAUGGUGGACUUCUAACCUUCAGAAUGGAGAAGUAAUGCCUGGAUGUGAGAAAGAAAAAGAACUUCAUGAAGGAUACGAGCUGAAGCUUACGACAUAUUUCACAGGGUUAAUCCAGUGCAGAAACAGCUUCAUCUUGUUAUCCAAGCCAACUUCUGGAGCUUCUGGAAGGAUGAUGCUCUUGUAAUCCUGGAGGAUGCUCUUGGAACUCAAGGUUAGGGAGAAGCUGGUGAAGGAGCAAUGGAAAUGGGACUCUGCAGAUCCAGACAGAUCCUUGCUAGUCCCUGCUCAAGGCAACCAUCUUAGCUAGACUAAAGUUUUACCUGAGAAAGAUCCUGGAGAUAUAUUUGGCAAAUUGUGAGCUCUGGAGUUCUGCUUAGAUGUGCCCCGUUCGCCCCUGAACCUUGGCAGAAAGGGUGCUCUCUCUGGCUGGGGAGAGCUCCAAUGCUGUCCAGAUACCCCCUUCUCUGUGAUUCCCAGCUGCUUUGAACAUCAUCGAAUGUCACUGGGUUGUCUGUUUUCUCUGCCGAAGUAGGGACUUGUCCUCACUUUUGCAAAGACCUGGUCUAAGAGGUUCAGGGCCCUCCAGGCUGGGUUGUUGACUCCAGCCUCCAGCUGAACAGAAAGUACCUGGGCCUCUGUCGUGCCCCCACUGGGUGUGAGAUCCCAGAAUCCCAGUAGGCAUGGGGUACCGCUCAGGAACUUGAUCACCUGUAGCUCUGCUGCACUGUCUUUGGUUCAACUGCAAGCUGUUCUUUCAGGCCAACCCAUUCUGGAUCUGGGGCACAUGGGAUGCCUGGUGGGAUAUGGAGUUUCUGGAGCAAUGUUUUCCCUUGGUUUAGCAACCUUUAGACUCCUAAAGGAUCCCUGAGUGGAGAUUCUUUGGGAUGGUCAAAAUUUGUUCCCUGAAUUCCCUUGUCUUUAUGGGACUUCCCAAAUGUAUCUCGGGGAAUUUAUUUUUCAGGUAAAAAUUUAGUUUGGCCAAGAUGGGUGCCUUGAGUGAUUAGGGCCUGUGAGGAUCUGUCUGCCUCUCUAAGCAGUACCAUCUCCAUCAGCUUGUAUUUUAGCCCAGAACACUUGUACAUUAUCAACACAAGCCUCAUUGGUGUUUUGAAAGCAUGGCCCAGGACUUACACAUUGCUGUUUGGAUGAGACUGAGUCAGAGGCUCUGAUGGGCUCAAUCUGUGAUUGUGGAUUCAUGAGUGAGUGCCUGGGCCACAGCCCUGGAAAGAGCCACAUAAUAGAGAGCAGGCAGCCCUGACAGAAAGGCCAAAACUUGUCUCAAGUUUCUCAGUGGCUUCCUGGUACAGGG